GUCGGAGUGGCGGAAUAGGUAGACGCGCUAGGUUGAGGGCCUAGUGCCCUUAAACAGGGCGUGGGGGUUCAAGUCCCCCCUCCGACACCA
rnacentral:tRNA from 1 species